CCUACGGGUGGCAGCAGUGGGGAAUAUUGCACAAUGGGCGCAAGCCUGAUGCAGCCAUGCCGCGUGUAUGAAGAAGGCCUUCGGGUUGUAAAGUACUUUCAGCGAGGAGGAAGGCGUUAAGGUUAAUAACCUUGGCGAUUGACGUUACUCGCAGAAGAAGCACCGGCUAACUCCGUGCCAGCAGCCGCGGUAAUACGGAGGGUGCAAGCGUUAAUCGGAAUUACUGGGCGUAAAGCGCACGCAGGCGGUCUGCCAAGUCGGAUGUGAAAUCCCCGGGCUCAACCUGGGAACUGCAUUCGGAACUGGCAGGCUAGAGUCUUGUAGAGGGGGGUAGAAUUCCAGGUGUAGCGGUGAAAUGCGUAGAGAUCUGGAGGAAUACCGGUGGCGAAGGCGGCCCCUUGGACAAAGACUGACGCUCAGGUGCGAAAGCGUGGGGAGCAAACAGGAUUAGAUACCCCAGUAGUC
rnacentral:rRNA from 1 species